rnacentral:tRNA from 1 species
AGGCGCGUAGCUCAGGGGUAGAGCGCUUCCUUGACAUGGAAGAGGUCGCUGGUUCGAAACCUGCCGUGCCUACCA